rnacentral:lncRNA from 1 species
AUUGAGCUUUAGAAUUAACCGUACAGGACCAACUGCAGGGUCUCCGGUUGAUUCCUUAUUUCACCUGUUAUAAUGUUGCAUCCUUAUUCUGUUAUUGACGCUUAUUGCAUGGCAUGCUUUCUGGUUUUUGAUAAAGAUUUGUGAAUUAAGAUAUUUGAAGAUUUAUAUGCAUAUUAUGUUAUUUUCUGGGAAAGUAUACAGGUUUUAUAGCAAGGGGUUAGAAAUGUUAUUAAAUGAAAUGUUUUCGAAAAACUUUGUUUUACUGACCCACUCAAUUUUGUUUUGCACCCCUCUAGGUUCUAGUUAGCGGUGUGGUGGCACGAGGAUUCCCACGACGUUCUGAUAGACUACAUAAAUGUAGGACUCACCUUCGGGUGUUGUAAUUUAGUUAUGUUCCCACUUGACUGCAGCUAGUAUUUAUGCUCUGAAUAUGUGUAUUUCACACCUAAACUUAUUUUAGCAUGCUAGUUGGAUACUAUUGUUAGUAUUUGGUUUUUAUUUCUUCGUAUUACUCUGAUUUGUUGCUUCCGCGUCGCACUUUUGGUUACGUCACGCCCACGUGACGGCCAGCACGCCUUGAUUUUAGGAUCGGGGUGUGUCAGUUUGGUAUCAAAGCCUAGGUUGCAGUCUUGUAUAACUUGUUAAUGCUCUAAUGAUCUUUUGAUGUCUUCUGUCAGAACUAUGCCGCCUCGUAGGGAAUCACGUUGUGCUUCUGAGCCUAAUUUCCCUGACAUAACUUAAUUAGGGGAAGCGAUGGCCCAUGCCUUUCAGAAUGCAAUCCGUCAUCCUCUUCCUCAGAAGACACCCCUGGAGACUAUGUAUAAUCUGAAAUUAGACUGUUUCAUGGGUAAUGAGGGGCAUGAAGGGGCAGAAAAAUGGUUAAACCAUAUUGAGAAGACUUUUCAGGUGAUGCAGAGUCAAGGGAAUCUUCGUGCUAGUAGAUGGGUGGCGACCACUACUUGGUUUUUAGGGUGAGAGCCAGCAGCUUGGUGGGUAAAUCAAACUAAGUUUAUGUCACCUGAGAUGGCAGCUGAUUAGGAAGUAUUCAAAGAGAAUUUUAAGAAAAGAUUUGUUCCUCCGGAGUACAUUGAUCGUAAGAAGCAGGAGUUCACUCAAUUGAAGCAAAAGAAUAUGUCGGCGCAUGAGUAUUACAGGAAGUUUACAGACUUAUCUCGUUAUGAUCCUGAUACAGCUGGUAAUCAGGCAGAGAUGCUUCGCCGUUUUAAGCUGUGAACUAAGAGGAAAUGGCGAACUUUUGCUAGUGCACUUCCUUACGCCACUUAUCAUGAGUUUUCUGAGAUUUUGGUUUGGAUGGAGAAUUCCGACAACCUUCCUAGUAAUAGUGAAGAAGAUGAAGAUAAGAAUGAUAAUCAGAAGAAAGAUGACAGGGGUAAAGGUAUCUCCACUCAAGGACCCCGUAAGACACAAAAUUUCAAGAAAAGUGGAGCAAGCUCGAGUUCUUCCAGCGGAGGAUUUAGUGUCACGGGUCCGAUAAGAGGUGGAAGAUUUGCUGGUGGACCCAGGUUUUAGAGGCAGAGAGACUCUGGUGAUUCUGGUACUCCGUUGUGCCGCUAUUGUAACUUCAGACAUCAUAGAGAGUGCAGGAGAAGUGGUGGUGCUUGCUACACUUGUGAACAGUUGGGACAUAGGGCUACUCAAUGUCCCCAGAGUCAGCAGAGAUCUCAGCAGUCUGUUAUGCCACCUCCAGCGCCGAUUCAGCAGAACUUUGGAUCAGGCAGUUAUGGUCAAAUGGGUCGUGGUGGUGCUUACCACUAUCAGGGUGAUGCUGCUCCUUAUGCUUCCGGACAGAAUCAGUAUUCCCAGGAUCCUUAUUUUCAUACUGGGUAUUCCCAAGAUCUUGGAGGUUAUACUUCAUAUCCUUCCAUGCCAGCUAGUGGAUCUCAGUGGUAUCAAAGAGGUCAGCCGCGAUAGGGAGAGGUUGCUGCUAGCAGUGCAGGACCGUUUAGGCAGUCUAAUCAGCCAGGACAGGGACGUACUUCUCAGGGAUGAGGUAACCAAGGUAAUAAAGGUCGUGGUGGACGACAGCAAGCUCAGGGACGUGUUAAUCAUAUCUCACAGGGUCGUGAUGGAAGAUUUGCUGGUGGACCCAGGUUUUAGAGGCAGAGAGACUCUGGUGAUUCUGGUACUCCGCUGUGCCGCUAUUGUAACUUCAGACAUCAUAGAGAGUGCAGGAGAAAUGGUGGUGCUUGCUACACUUGUGGACAGUUGGGACAUAGGGCUGCUCAAUGUCCCCAGAGUCAGCAGAGAUCUCAGCAGUCUGUUAUGCCACCUCCAGCGCCGAUUCAGCAGAACUUUGGAUCAGGCAGUUAUGGUCAAAUGGGUCGUGGUGGUGCUUACCACUAUCAGGGUGAUGCUGCUCCUUAUGCUUCCGGACAGAAUCAGUAUUCCCAGGAUCCUUAUUUUCAUACUGGGUAUUCCCAAGAUCUUGGAGGUUAUACUUCAUAUCCUUCCAUGCCAGCUAGUGGAUCUCAGUGGUAUCAAAGAGGUCAGCCCCGAUAGGGAGAGGUUGCUGCUAGCAGUGCAGGACCGUUUAGGCAGUCUAAUCAGCCAGGACAUGGACGUACUUCUCAGGGAUGAGGUAACCAAGGUAAUAAAGGUCGUGGUGGACGACAGCAAGCUCAGGGACGUGUUAAUCAUAUCUCACUGCAAGAUGCUCAGAAUCAUCCGGACUUGAUUAUAGGUACGUUAAAUAUCCUCGGUCACUUUGCUAGAGUUUUGAUUGAUUGUGGUGCUACUCAUUCUGUGAUUUCUCAUACGUUUGCUCAAAUGACUCAACCUCACCCUACACAUCUAAGAUUUGAUUUAGAGUUUGCUAUGCCUAGAAGGGACAAAUGUUAUGUUGAUAGUGUUUAUCCAGGGUGUCCAGUGAUGGUAGAUGGUGUAGUUAUGCCAGCUAAUCUUAUCCCGUUAGAUAUUGUGGAUUUUGAUAUGAUUUUAGGGGCGAAUUGGUUGCAUUAUAAUCGUGCACAUAUAGAUUGUUACUGGAAAUCAGUUACUUUUCAUCGUCCUGGACUACCAGAGGUUACUUUUGUGGGUGAAAGAAGUGGGGUGAGACAUGGUGUUAUUUCUGCCAUGAGAGCAAAGAAGUUGUUAUCGAAAGGUUGUCAUGGAUACUUAGCACAUGUGGUGUUAAAUAAUGUUAUUCCUAACAGUGUAGAGGAAGUUGGAGUAGUCAGGCACUAUCCUGAUGUAUUCCCAGAUGAUUUGCCUGGAUUGCCGCCAGACAGAGAUGUGGAGUUUUCGAUUGAUUUGCUCCCAUGUACGGAUUCUAUAUCUUUGACUCCAUACAGAAUGGCUCCAGCUGAAUUGAGAGAGUUGAAAAUUCAGUUACAAGAAUUAACUGAUAAAGGUUUCAUUCAACCUAGUACUUCACCUUGGGGAGCUCCGGUGUUGUUUGUAAGAAAGAAAGACGGAACUUUGAUAUUGUGUAUUGAUUACAGGCAAUUGAAUCGGGUAACGAUUAAAAACCAUUAUCCAUUGCCUCGUGUCGAUGAUUUGUUUGAUCAACUUAAAUAUGCGUGUGUGUUCUCUAAGAUUGAUUUGAAAUCUGGCUAUUAUCAGUUGAAGAUUAAAGAUGAAGAUGUACCUAAAACGGCUUUCAGGACCCGUUAUGGGCAUUAUGAGUUUUUGGUGAUGCCAUUUGGAUUGACUAAUGCACCUGCAGCUUUCAUGAGGCUAAUGAAUGAAGUAUUCCAGCAAUAUCUUGAUAGAUUUAUCAUUGUUUUUAUCGAUGAUAUUCUGGUAUACUCACAGUCGAAAGCAAAUCAUAUUCGACAUCUUAACUUGGUAUUAAAGAAAUUGAUGGAGCAUCAGUUGUAUGCCAAGUUUAGCAAAUGUCAGUUUUGGUUGAAUCAAGUGGCAUUUUUGGGACAUGUAGUAUCGGCACAAGGAAUUCAAGUAGAUCCUCAAAAGAUUGCAGCAGUGGAGAAUUGGGAACAGCCACGAACCGUCACCGAGGUGCGGAGUUUUCUUGGUUUAGCAGGUUAUUAUCGACGGUUUGUUCAAGAUUUUUCUAUGAUUGCGUUGCCACUAACGAAGUUAACCAGGAAGGAUGUUAAGUUCGAGUGGGACGAGAAUUGUGAGCAAAGUUUCCAGCAGCUGAAAUAUUACCUCACUUAUGCUCCAGUAUUGGUACUUCCUGAUGAUAACGGUAACUUUGAGAUUUACAGUGAUGCUUCCUUGAAUGGUUCGGGAUGUGUCUUGAUACAGCAUAAUAGAGUGAUCGCAUAUGCUUUUCGACAGUUGAAGAUUCAUGAAAGGAAUUAUCCUACUCACGAUCUUGAGUUGGCAGCCAUUGUCUUUGCUUUGAAGAUUUGGAGGCAUUAUCUCUAUGGUGAGAAAUGUAAGAUCUUCACGAAUCAUAAGAGUCUUCAGUAUUUUUUUACUCAGCAUGAUCUUAAUCUUCGUCAGUGAAGGUGGAUGGAGUUACUAAGUGAUUAUGACUGCACUAUUGAGUAUCAUCCGGGUCGCGCAAAUGUGGUAAGCUGAUGCACUGAGUAGGAAACCUCAAGGUCGACUUAAUGCUUUGUAUGCUUGCCGUGUUCCUCUUCUUGCAGAUUUGAGAGCUACUGGAGUAAAGUUAGAGUUAGAAUAACGAAGAGAAGCUUUUCUUGCUAGUUUCCAAGUCAAGCCUGUUUUGGUCAAUCGUGUACUUGAAGCUCAGAUGAUUGAUGAAGAGAUUCAAGAAAUGAUUCAAUUGAGAAAUGAAAGGAAAAAGAAAGACCUCAGGAUUUGAGAAUCAGAUGGCAUGCUUAUGCAGGAGAACAGAAUGUAUGUGCCGAAUAAUGAGGAAUUAAAUAAGGAAAUUUUGGAUGAAGCACAUUGUUCAGCUUAUGCGAUGCAUCCAUGAGGGACUAAGAUGUACCAUACCAUUCGACCAUUUUAUUAUUGGCCGGGUAUGAAAAGGGAAAUUGCAGAAUAUGUAAGUAGGUGUGCUGUUUGUCAGCAAGUCAAAGCAGAAAGAAAGAAGCCUUUUGGACGGAUGCAACCACUGCCCAUUCCUCAGUGGAAAUGGGAAAAUAUAACUAUGGAUUUUGUGUAUAAGCUUCCUCGUACACAUAAUGGAUUUGAUGGCGUUUAGGUAAUCGUAGAUCGGCUUACCAAGUCAGCACACUUCAUUCCAGUGAGGGAAAAGUAUCCCCUGAAUAAAUUGGCUAAGUUAUUCAUCACAAACAUUGUGAAGUCAUGGAGUUCCAGUGAAUAUUAUUUUUUAUCGAGAUCCAAGAUUUACUUCUAGGUUUUGGAUAGCUUUUUAGGAAGCUCUUGGUACAAAACUGCUUUACAGCACUGCUUAUCAUCCUCAAACCGAUGGACAAUCAGAGAGGACUAUUCAGACGUUAGAGGAUAUGUUGAGAUCUUCAGUGUUACAGUUUGGAGAUUCUUGGCAUGAUCGCCUAGACUUGAUGGAAUUUGCCUACAAUAAUAGUUUUCAUGCGAGCAUUGGUAUGUCACCAUUUGAGGCACUGUAUGGUAGAGCUUGUCGUACGCCAUUGUGUUGGUCAGAGGUUGGCGAAAGAGUGCUAGAGGGCCCAGAGAUUGUGGAUGAGACUACUCAAAAUGUUCAGGUGAUUAAGUCUAACCUGAAAGCAGCCCAGGAUCGACAAAAGAGUUUAACAGAUAGACAUGCUACUGAUCGAGUAUAUGAUGUGGGUAAUUUGGUAUUCUUGAAAUUAUCACCUUGGAGAGGUGUAGUGCGGUUUGGAAAGAAAGGCAAGCUAAGUCCUAGGUAUAUAGGACCUUAUGAGAUCACUGAAAUGAUUGGUGAAGUUGCUUACAGAUUGGAGUUGCCUCCGAAGUUAUCUAAGGUACAUAAUGUGUUUCAUGUCUCGAUGUUUCGACAUUAUGUUUCAGACCCUUCACAUGUGAUUCCUCCUCAACCUUUGGAGAUUAAUCUGGAUUUGACGUAUGAUGAGGAACCAAUAACUAUCUUAGAUUGGAAAGACAAUGUUCGAAGGAAUAAAACAGUGAGAUUGGUAAAAGUAUUGUGGAGGAACCACUCAGUGGAAGAAGCUACUUGGGAAACAGAAGAUCGAAUGAGAGAGAUGUAUCCAAGGUUGUUUUAUGAGUAUUAGUGGAUUGAGUGUUGUAUGAAUUUUGAGGAUGAAAUUCUAUAAGGAGGGGAGAUUGUCACAGCCCGUCCCAAAAAUUCAAUUAUCGUGGGUGUGAAAUGACAGAAUUGCCUUUAAUGGUUGCUAAGGUAUGUGUACCGUAUUAUUUGAUGUGCAUAAUUUUCUAAAUUUUGGAAAUUUAAUUGGAUUAAAAUUGUAUGCAUUUUUUUUUAUGUGGUUAGGGACUUAGGUGGACCACAUACCCUUACCAUCAGACUCAUCUCUCUCUCCUAUCCCGUGCCUUCUCUCUCUCUUCCCUCUCAGUUUCUCUCUCUCUCUCGAACCGUACGGACAAGAACCCAAAAUCCCUCAAAACAUCAUGGAUCGAUGCCAAUAAGGUGAGUUUCUUCAUCCUUGCAACCUCCUAAGUUGAAUGGUACCAUUUUUGGAACUUAGAAUCUUCGAAAUCACGUGAAAUCCGAACCCCAGUUUGAUGUCACUGUUCAUGCACACGUGAAUUGUUGAUUUUCAGGGAAUUCUAAGCUUACAUGGAGCUUAGUGAGAUUCCAAGGAAGCUUGGAGUACUUAGUAUGAAGGUUUUGGACGUCGGGAUCAUAGGGUUCGAAGUUGGGCGGUUUUCUUGGAUUUUCUUCAAUGAGAUUUCGUAAUUUUUAGAGCCUUAAACUGGUACAACGUGAUUCUAAAUGCUUAGGGCUUCAUUUUGAUAUAAAAUGCGUAGAAAAUGGUGGAGAAAUGAUGGAGAACAAGGAGAUUGAAAAAUCUCCAGUUUUCCGACGCCAGUGAAACCAGUCCGGCGACUGGAGGAAGAAGAUGACGAGCGUGGGGGCGCGUGGCAAGUCCAAAUUUUUUUCUAAAAAUAUCUAGACGUCUGUGACGUAGAGUGCCGUACAGGUCACUGUGGUGACUUCGGUUGGAUUGGAUAUUGAGCUUUAGAAUUAACAAUACAGGACCAACUGCAGGGUUUCCGGUUGAUUCCUUAGUUCACCUGUUAUAAUGUUGCAUCCUUAUUCUGUUAUUGACGCUUAUUGCAUGGCAUGCUUUCUGGUUUUUGAUAAAGAUUUGUGAAUUGAGAUAUUUGAAGAUUUAUAUGCAUAUUAUGUUAUUUUCUGAGAAAGUAUACAGGUUUUACAGCGAGGGGUUAGAAAUGUUAUUAAAUGAAAUGUUUUCGAAAAGCUUUGUUUUACUGACCCAUUCAAUUUUGUUUUGCGCCCUUCCAGGUUUUAGUUAGUGGUGUGGUGGCACGAGGAUUCCCACGACGUUCUAAUAGACUACAUAAAUGUAGGACUCAUCUUCGGGUGUUGUAAUUUAGUUAUGUUUCUAUUUGACUGCACCUAGUAUUUAUGCUCUGAAUAUGUGUGUUUCACACCUAAACUUAUUUUAGCAUGCUAGUUGGAUACUAUUGUUAGUAUUUGGUUUUUAUUUCUUCGUAUUACUCUUAUAUGUUGCUUACGCGUCGCACUUUUGGUUACGUCACGCCCACGUGCCGGCCAGCACGCCUUGAUUUUAGGAUCGAGGUGUGUCACUUAUGCUCUAACGUCAUGUGUGAAGUGGGUUCAUUCCUGCUCACUAGCACACUCUGGUAUUUAGGCACUCUUAGGUUUAAAUUUAUUCACAUUUGUUCCACAUCAUCACACUUUAUGGCUUCGUCCCCUUCCACGUGUCGACCAACACAGCUCGAUUCGGAGUCCUAGUGGACCUUCCGAGUCAUGGUGUGUCAAAAAUAAUUCGAAAUUUUUUGGAGAUGACACAUGGACUUUUACUCGAAGAAGACAAAAAUGUUCUUCUUAAAUUAACGAGGCUCACAUUUAAUCUACACGCAGUUCAACAUUCCUGAAGACGUGAGCACCUAACUACAACUCAUCAAACUCUCAUGCCCCCUGCCUAUGGCAAGGAGAGAGAAGAUUCGAAUUUAACACCUUUCUACAUCAAAAACAUAAUUCAAAGACAACAAAUAUUCCCAAAGUAAAACAUUUCCAUUCUAGAAUAGAAGUACAACCAUGAUUGUGGCUAGUGAGGAAGGAAUAGAUAUUGAAUGG